rnacentral:rRNA from 1 species
GGUGAAAUUCUUGGACCGUCGCAAGACGGACAGAAGCGAAAGCAUUUGCCAAAAACGUUUUCAUUGAUCAAGAACGAAAGUUAGAGGUUCGAAGGCGAUCAGAUACCGCCCUAGUUCUAACCAUAAACGAUGCCAGCUAGCGAUCCGCCGACGUUCCUCCGAUGACUCGGCGGGCAGCUUCCGGGAAACCAAAGCUUUUGGGUUCCGGGGGAAGUAUGGUUGCAAAGCUGAAACUUAAAGGAAUUGACGGAAGGGCACCACCAGGAGUGGAGCCUGCGGCUUAAUUUGACUCAACACGGGAAACCUCACCAGGCCCGGACACCGGAAGGAUUGACAGAUUGAGAGCUCUUUCUUGAUUCGGUGGGUGGUGGUGCAUGGCCGUUCUUAGUUGGUGGAGCGAUUUGUCUGGUUAAUUCCGAUAACGAACGAGACUCUGGCCUGCUAACUAGGCGUAUUUCCGACAUCUCGAAGGCCCGCCGGCCUGGUGCGUUCGCGUGCCAAGUCGUGCGCGGUUUUUACUGUCGGCGUACAAACAAUUCUUCUUAGAGGGACAGGCGGCUUCUAGCCGCACGAGAUAGAGCAAUAACAGGUCUGUGAUGCCCUUAGAUGUUCUGGGCCGCACGCGCGCUACACUGAAGGAAUCAGCGUGUCCUCCCUGGCCGAGCGGCCCGGGUAACCCGCUGAACCUCCUUCGUGCUAGGGAUUGGGGCUUGCAAUUGUUCCCCAUGAACGAGGAAUUCCCAGUAAGCGCGAGUCAUAAGCUCGCGUUGAUUACGUCCCUGCCCUUUGUACACACCGCCCGUCGCUACUACCGAUUGAAUGAUUUAGUGAGGUCUUCGGACCGGCACGCGGUGGCGUUUCGACGUCGCCGAUGAUGCUGGAAAGAUGACCAAACUUGAUCAUUU